rfam:Penicillium subrubescens strain CBS 132785 PENSTBscaffold_625, whole genome shotgun sequence.
UUCUCCUACAGUUCAAAGAAUCACUUUAGAGUAGACGUCCCACUUCUAAGCUCUUUAAACGAGCCACAGAAUCUUCACCCUUGCUGAUGACUGCUAUGUCCUCGAUGCCCUAAAGUGAAGCCAUUUGGACUCCCGCCUCGACUGACACGCGUGCUUCGGCGUCUGCAUGUUGGUCCAGGGAGUGGUGAUGAUCUUGAUCUGGUCUCGGCGUCUGACUUCGGUCGGCUGGUCCUGGUGGGUGUCGAGGAGGUCUGAAAGGU